AUUGAACGCUGGCGGAAUGCUUUACACAUGCAAGUCGAACGGCAGCACGGACUUCGGUCUGGUGGCGAGUGGCGAACGGGUGAGUAAUGUAUCGGAACGUGCCCAGUCGUGUGGGAUAACGUAGUGAAAAUUACGCUAAUACCGCAUACGAUCUAUGGAUGAAAGCGGGGGAUCGCAAGACCUCGCGCGAUUGGAUCGGCCGAUAUCAGAUUAGGUAGUUGGUGGGGUAAAGGCCCACCAAGCCAACGAUCUGUAGCUGGUCUGAGAGGACGACCAGCCACACUGGAACUGAGACACGGUCCAGACUCCUACGGGAGGCAGCAGUGGGGAAUUUUGGACAAUGGGCGAAAGCCUGAUCCAGCCAUUCCGCGUGCAGGAUGAAGACCCUCGGGUUGUAAACUGCUUUUGUACAGAACGAAAAGGUUUCUACUAAUACUAGGAGCUCAUGACGGUACUGUAAGAAUAAGCACCGGCUAACUACGUGCCAGCCGCCGCCGUAA
rnacentral:rRNA from 1 species